AACGGAUGGGGCUAGUGUUAUUCAUCGUUAUUGGGCGUAAAGGGCAUGUAGGUUGUUUGUUAUUCUUUUCAUUGAAAAGAUAGAGCCCAACUCUAUUUAACUUUGAUUUGCUACAAACUUGAGUUUAGGAGGAAGUAACAGUAUUUUUCGGGUAAAGGUGAAAUUUUUCGAUUCGAAAAAGACUAUCAAUAGGCGAAAGCAGUUAUUUAGACUAAUACUGACACUGAGGUGCGAAAGCGUAGGGAGCAAACAGG
rnacentral:rRNA from 1 species